GCAUGGGGGCUGCGGGCGGGGCCAGAUCUGGCGCGGCGGGGGUGCGGAGGCUCCUCCGGGUCGCGGCCGCUCGCUCCGGUGACGGCGCCGGCGCCGGCGUGGUGCGGGCGAGCGGUGGGGAAGAGGGGCGUAGUGGCCGGAGGGGGAGGGAAGGGAAGUGGUCCUCCUAUUCUGGGUCGGCUCGGCUGUUAUUUUUUCCCUUCCACCCUUUCUCUCGCUGUCUGUGUCUCUUCUCUCUCGCGCGCGCGCUGGCCCGGACGCCCGAUCGGGACGAAGACGAGAGGAGAGGAGAGGAGAGGAGGCCACAGCCCACAGACCAUUGGCAG
rnacentral:misc_RNA from 1 species